CAUUUAGAAUCACAGCACUUUCCAUAAUGUGAAAUAAAAAGAAGUGAAAUAGAAGUAGCUGGAUAGAAAAAGUGAAGUCAACAGAAGACCGCCUCAAGGAAAAGGAAGAGUCAUAACUGUGCACCAGGCGUACUGGCUAUGUGACCUCAAUCAUGGCUUUCCUCCUCUUAAUCUCAACUCCUCCAUUUGUAAAUUAAAAGGAAAGAAAUUUGAACAGGAAGACAGAUAGACACAAGCAGACCAUCAUGUAAAGAUAAAGAUAGGAAUCAAGAGUGAUGCAUUUGCAAACUAAGAACACGGAAGAAUCCCAGUAAAUCACCAGAAGUUAGGAAAAAGUCAUGGAAUAGAUUCUGCCUCAGAGCCUCCAGAGGAAUCCAACCCUGCCAACACCUUCAU